AGAGUUUGAUCCUGGCUCAGGAUAAACGCUGGCGGCGCACAUAAGACAUGCAAGUCGAACGGACUGAAAUCGUGUUUAACAUGAUAGAGGUUAGUGGCGGACUGGUGAGUAACACGUAAGCAACCUGCCUGAUAGAGGGGGAUAACAUUGAGAAAUCAAUGCUAAUACCGCAUAAACUGAAAAUACUGCAUGGUAUUUUUAGGAAAGGAGAAAUCCGCUAACAGAUGGGCUUGCGUCUGAUUAGCUAGUUGGUAGGGUAAAGGCCUACCAAGGCAACGAUCAGUAGCCGGACUGAGAGGUUGAACGGCCACAUUGGGACUGAGAUACGGCCCAGACUCCUACGGGAGGCAGCAGUCGGGAAUAUUGCGCAAUGGAGGGAACUCUGACGCAGUGACGCCGCGUAUAGGAAGAAGGUUUUCGGAUUGUAAACUAUUGUCGUUAGGGAAGAAAAGGACAGUACCUAAGGAGGAAGCUCCGGCUAACUAUGUGCC
rnacentral:rRNA from 1 species